UAGCGGGUGCGAGUCCCGUCCGGGUAAGCGCCGGAGCGCCCGGUAGCAGGCCCCAGGUUUGCGGGGGAGACCCCGCGGCCCGAGCGGGGCGUCGAAUGCCUUUACGGAGGGAGCAAGAACGCGGGCCGCAACAUCA
rnacentral:ncRNA from 1 species